rnacentral:tRNA from 1 species
GGGGCUGUAGCUCAGUUGGCUAGAGCACCUGCUUUGCACGCAGGGGGUCAAGGGUUCGAGUCCCUUCAGCUCCACCA